CACGUAGGGCGCAAGCGUUGUCCGGAAUUACUGGGCGUAAAGGGCUCGUAGGCGGCCAACUAAGUCCGACGUGAAAUCCCCAGGCUUAACCUGGGAACUGCGUCGGAUACUGGAUGGCUUGAAUCCGGGAGAGGGAUGCGGAAUUCCAGGUGUAGCGGUGAAAUGCGUAGAUAUCUGGAGGAACACCGGUGGCGAAGGCGGCAUCCUGGACCAACACUGACACUGAGGAGCGAAAGCCAGGGGAGCAAACGGG
rnacentral:rRNA from 1 species